AGAGUUUGAUCCUGGCUCAGGAUGAACGCUAGCGGGAGGCUUAACACAUGCAAGUCGAGGGGCAGCAUAGGGUAGCAAUACUCUGAUGGCGACCGGCAAACGGGUGAGUAACGCGUAUGCAACCUACCCUGUACAGGGGGAUAACCCGGAGAAAUUCGGACUAAUAUCCCGUAAUAAUAUCCGGAGGCAUCUUUGGAUAUUUAAAGUUCCGACGGUACGGGAUGGGCAUGCGUAACAUUAGCUGGUUGGUAAGGUAACGGCUUACCAAGGCUAUGAUGUUUAGGGGUCCUGAGAGGGUGGUCCCCCACACUGGUACUGAGACACGGACCAGACUCCUACGGGAGGCAGCAGUGAGGAAUAUUGGUCAAUGGGCGCAAGCCUGAACCAGCCAUCCCGCGUGCAGGAAGACGGCCCUAUGGGUUGUAAACUGCUUUUCCAGGGAGAGAAACUUACGCACGUGUUGCGUGACUGACGGUACCCUGGGAAUAAGCAUCGGCUAACUCCGUGCCAGCAGCCGCGGUAAUACGGAGGAUGCAAGCGUUAUCCGGAUUCAUUGGGUUUAAAGGGUGCGUAGGCGGGCUAUUAAGUCAGUGGUGAAAUCCUGCAGCUUAACUGCAGAACUGCCGUUGAUACUGAUAGUCUUGAGUUUGGUUAAGGUAGGCGGAAUGUGUAAUGUAGCGGUGAAAUGCUUAGAUAUUACACAGAACACCAAUUGCGAAGGCAGCUUACUGAGCCGACACUGACGCUGAGGCACGAAAGCGUGGGGAUCAAACAGGAUUAGAUACCCUGGUAGUCCACGCCGUAAACGAUGAUUACUCGCUGUUGGCGAUACACUGUCAGCGGCUAAGCAAAAGCAAUAAGUAAUCCACCUGGGGAGUACGGCCGCAAGGUUGAAACUCAAAGGAAUUGACGGGGGCCCGCAC
rnacentral:rRNA from 1 species